GAACAUGUUUACACAAGAGGGUAGGAGGGAGAAAGUCAAGGAAAGACAUUUCUGGCAGAAAAAAAAACAACACAGAAAACACAGAUAUGACAAAUGUGGCCUUCCUUCCCAGUUCUGUAUGUGAGGAAUUCUCAAAACCACAGUCUACUCAAGGAUGGACCACGAUGUAUUUAUUAAAUGAAAAAGAGAGAGAGAGAGAAGUGAAUCUGGUAUGGUACAUUUUUACUUUAUAAAUAUAAUUUUACAAGUGUGUGUGGGGGGGAUGUGUAUCUGUAUAUACUAUCAACUUCUCUAAGCCAAUUUAGUUAUGCACCACUUUUAGGGUCAUAUUGGUAAAUAAUAUUAACCUUAAAAGUUUUAGGUAGGUUUAGUUAGCGAGUCUCAGACUCAAUCCCACUGCAUGUAUGGACAUUCAUAGCCAGCAAGCACACACAGUUCAUUUCACAUCACCAGUUCUGGAAGCUCAAUUAAGUCGAGCUCGAUCCUUCAGUUGUUUUACUUAACAUCCUGCAUGACAGGUUCCCUUGAGCCCGAUGUGACAAUAUGGCAGGAGCAGGAUUCUGCUCCCUUUAUGCUCCCAUCAGAAAUCCUCCCAGACUGGCCCAGGACCCUUUAGGAUCAAGUCUUAGACACCAUCUGUAAAGGAGCAGGCUAUACAGACUUUGCUAGACUUUUAAACCUUAUCCAUGCAUGGAAGUGGAGUGGCUCUUAAAAGAGUUGAGGUAAGUCAUUGAAUACCACCAAUUUCACCAAUGGAAACCCAUUUUAAACAUCUAUCAUGCAAACAAGCUACAAAUUUCACCUGUGAAAACCCAUUUCUAAUAUCCACUAUACUAAUCAGCAAAAUGUCUUUGCAUUGUCAAAGAUGAGGAUUACUGAUGCAGUUUAUAGGAGCCACAUCUGAAUUAAAGCAACAGACUUUUCUUGGCUUGUGACUUAAACCAACUAAUACACGUUAAUGUCACAUUGUCUGGUUUUAAGCAUUUUAAAACAAAUUAGCUACACAAAGCAGAACAACAGGAAGGAGGUAGAGUAUUCUACACAAGAGCAAUUCAUAUUGGUUUGGUAGAAAUGGCAUGAGGACUGGAGAGAGAAUAUUAACUUAUUUUAUAUAGACCUUUAUAUCAUUUCAUUUGGCCCAACAUACUCAUAUCAUUUUUGUGCUUAACAAUCUUAACAUUGUUUUUGAAAGAGGGGGUAACUUUUAAAAAGUAAAAGCAAGGAGGGGUGCCUGGGUAGUUCAGUCGGUUAAGUGUCCGACUUCGGCUCAGGUCAUGAUCUCAUAGCUUGUGGGUUCGAGCCCUGUGUCAGGCACUGUGCUGACAGCUCAGAGCCUGGAGCCUGCUUUGGAUUCUGGGUCUCCCUCUCUCUCUGCCCCUCCCCCACUCAUGCUCUGUCUCUCUCUCUCUCUCUCUGUCUCAAAAAUAAACUUAAAAAAUAUUUUUUAAAGUAAAAGCA
rnacentral:lncRNA from 1 species